GGGAGGCAGCAGUGGGGAAUAUUGCGCAAUGGGGCGAAAGCCUGACGCAGCCAAUCCGCGUGGGUGAUGAAGGCCUUCGGUUGUAAAGCCCUGUCGUAGGGGACGAAUCAAUGACGGUACCCUACAAGAAAGCACCGGCUAACCCCGUGCCAGCAGCCGCGGUAAUACGGGGGUGCAAGCGUUGCUCGGAAUCACUGGGCGUAAAGCGUCCGCAGGCGGACCGAACAGUCGGUGGUGAAAGCCCAGGGCUCAACCCUGGAACUGCCAUCGAUACUGCCGGUCUUGAGUUCGGGAGAGGGAAGUGGAAUUCCUGGUGUAGAGGUGAAAUUCGUAGAUAUCAGGAGGAACACCGGUGGCGAAAGCGGCUUCCUGGCCCGAAACUGACGCUCAUGGACGAAAGCGUGGGGAGCGAAACAGGAUUAGAUACCCUGGUAGUCCACGCCGUAAACGAUGGAUGCUAGCUGAUGGGACUUCUACCGUCUCAUUGGCGUCGCUAACGCAUUAAGCAUCCGCCUGGGAAGUACGGCCGCAAGG
rnacentral:rRNA from 1 species